rnacentral:lncRNA from 1 species
GUUUCAGUGCGCUACGCUAUUCACUGUGUUAUUUAGUUGUCAGAAAAUAUGCCGAAAAGCAAAACCUGAAGCGUUUUAAACAAAAACUUUUAAAAUUGUUACAAGAGUCAUCAUCAGAGGAUACAAGUGAAUCACAUACAGACGAAACCUCUUUUUCUUCGAGCUCAUCAGAAAUAGUUAGACGAAGAAAGAGGCAAACGAAGAAGCGAAAACGAUCACGUUCACCCCUACGCAAACGAAAAAUUCAAAGGCGUGUUGUUAUUGAAUCUUCUUUUUCUGACUCUGAAACAGAAGGAGAAAGGGCUUAUGGACAUCGGAAAUCGGACCGAGAAAGCACCCAAUGUUCUAGGUGCUCUGCCAUCUAACAAUAUGGGUUUAGGGCCAUCAUUAGAUGCCGAGAUUGUGACCCGCUGGUCCAGUUAUUUAACUCAAGGGUUUGAUAAGGAUACCCGAGAGUUAUGGACAAAAAUUCCCUUUCCCGAUAAUUGUCCAUUAUUAGAAGCUGCAAAGCCAAAUACAGAAAUAGAAGCUAUACUUUCUAGCUCUAAUUCCAAGAAAGAUUAUAUUUUGGCUAAUAUUCAGAGUAAAUUUGGCAAGGGGCUUACUUAUAUGGGAUAUGCCCUAGAUGAGCUCAUUAAAUCCUUAUCUGAGAAGGAGGAAUAUAAAGAAGUUCUACACAAGCUGGUAGAAUCUUCCCAGAUGUUGUGUGAAGGACAUUAUUUAUUGACUGUGCACAGAAAACAUCAACUUUUUCCAUUUAUAAAAGAUCCAUCAGCGUUAAAGAUUGCCACUGAAUCAAAAUCUGACGAAUGGAUUUUUGGUGAGAGGUCUAAAACAGCUUAAGCAGUCCUUAAAUCGGCAAAAGAGGUAUUAUUGCAAAAACCCUCCUCUAAUAUGAGACCAAGCGCUUCUUAUGGAAAUUUAAACUCCAAGCGCCAAUUACCAAGGACCAGAAUGAAGUUUUCACAACAAGAAAAAUUCAACAGAAGGAACACCAUACAAGAGAAAACCAGGGACGACUACAAACAAAGCCGAUACCAGAAAUUUCAGCGAUACAGACGGAAUUAAAUCAGAAUGAAUCACCCUAUUUGGGACCGCAUUACCCUGGUUGUCGGGAGAUUAUCAGGCAAGCUUAUGAACAACGUAAUAUAAGUGCUGACUGUGUUCCAAUUUAAUUAAGAUCAGUAAGUGAAAAUACGCUAAAGCAAUAUAAUUCUUCAUUUUCUAAGUGAUGGAAUUAUUGUAAAGAUAAAACUAUUAAUAUUUUUAGUCCAUCUCUCAAUAAUUUAUUAGAUUUUUUAAAUUUUGAAUUUUCAAAAGGUUUGUCAUAUCAGACCCUCAACUGUCAUAGAUCGGCAUCAAAAAUGUUGUUUGUAGAAGAUGUAGAAGAUAGGAACAAUAUAAUUAAAAAAUUUUAAAAGGGACAUUUAGAAUUAAACCCGUUUUUCCCAAAUAUAAUGAUACUUGGGAUCCCAGAAAUGUAUUAAAUUAUUUGUCGGGGUUUUUUCCUUUAGGUACCUUAAAUUUCAAGGAUUUAACCUACAAAUUAAUUACGUUAAUGGCCUUGGUAACAUCGCAGAGAAUUUAAAUUUUUAGUCUAAUAAAAUUAACAGAUAGUUUAAGAUAGUUUAUAGAUUAAUAAGGAUGAUGAUUCUAUAACAAUUGUUACUCAAGCCUUUUUAAAAUCAUCAGCCCCCAAUCGACCACAACCAGUAUUAAAAAUUCCGUUCUUUAAAGAAAAACCUGAAUUGUGUAUUGCUUUAACUUUAGAAGAGUAUAUUAAAGGCACAGAGAUAUUAAGAGGUUAGGUUGAGGAACUUUUCAUUACACAUAAAAGACCUUAUCACCAAGCCACAACUCAAACCCUGUCAUGUUGGAUUAAAACUAUUUUAAAAGAGUCUGGUAUAGACACCACUCGCUAUUCUGCCUAUAGUACUAGGCAUGCAUCCACUUCAGCAGCUUUUCAGAAAGGUAUAGAUAUUGAAUCUAUAAGAAAGGCUGCUGGAUGGUCCCCAAAUUCAAAUAUGUUUGCCCGUUUUUACUGUAGGCCUUUAAUAGAUAAAAAUGCUUAUGCAAAAGCAAUUAUCUAUAAUAAAUAGCUUAUAAAUUUAUAUUAUAUAGAGUAAGUAAUGGAGU